AAAACACUGCAACUGCUUGCAAGAGGAGAGCUAACCUAACAGAAUAUUUAAUAUUUUGAAACAUAUGUCCUAAGGGAUAAGAUUCUUCUGUUUAAAAAGAUUAAAUUGUUUAGUGUGGCAGCUGCGGGAUGUGAAUACGCUGAGCCUCAUCACUGUCGUGUAUCCCUUCUCACAUGCACAUGGAAACAUGGAGACUUUAUUCUGACAUGCCGGUCCCUCAUUAGAAUCGUACAGAGCCUUUGGCUGUACGGCCUCCUUGCUUAAUUUUUCAAAAUUCUCAGCAGAUAGAGCUGCAGCCAGAAAUUCCUCUGUUGAGAUUCCUUCCGGUCCAGAUGAAACUAAUAGUUCCAGGCUGUGCUGCCAUCAGUCAUUACUAAUCCAGGCCUCCUGCUGCCAGACAGAAAGAAUUUCCACUUCCCUGCUGUUCGUUAUUAAGCUGCUGUAAACAAGAAGGCCUGAAGGUAACUUAGGAGGAGCCAGUGAGGAGAAAUUUCUGAUAACCUUAAGACUCAUUUCCAAAUUACGUUGUUAACUCUGUGAGCAAUCUGGAGAGAAACAGUGGGGUUUCAUUCACCUGUGACCUCAAAGGUUAUAUAUUUACAAUUUCAGACAGCCUUUAAUGACGGUACUUCUUGAAGUGAUCCUUUUUUCUUAAAUCUUCAGGAAAUGUGGUCUAUUUUUCUCUCAUAUAAUUAAAUCUAAGCACUUAUGCAUAAAAACUAUAGUUUUCUAGAUUUGCUUUUUCUAUUUAUUACCUAAAAUAUUUUAAACACAGC
rnacentral:lncRNA from 1 species